GCACCUGUAGCUCAGCUGGAUAGAGCGCUGCCCUCCGGAGGCAGAGGUCAGAGGUUCGAAUCCUCUCAGGUGCGCCA
rnacentral:tRNA from 1 species